UCACAAACUUUGGAGAUCCGUGGAUUAUUGCAAAUUGGUUCUUUUACAACUGGACAAGCAGCACAGCGUGACAGACAGACUCAUGACAUCCUAACUGCUGUCUGGAGGUGUUUCUCAGUGAAGUGUGCAGCAAUGGAUCCGCUGUACAUCGCUAUUGAGCUGAUGAUCGCCGUCCUGUCAAUCUCCGGUAAUGUGCUGGUGUGCUGGGCUGUGGCCAUCAACUCCACUCUCAAGAACGCCACCAAUUACUUUCUGGUGUCUCUAGCCGUGGCAGAUAUUCUGGUUGGCUGUCUUGCCAUCCCUUUUGCCAUCACUAUAAGCAUUGGUCUGCGCUCAGACUUCUAUGGAUGCCUUUUCCUGGCGUGUUUCGUUCUGGUACUGACUCAAAGUUCAAUAUUUAGUCUUCUGGCGGUUGCCAUCGACAGAUAUCUGGCUGUAAAAAUCCCCCUGAGGUAUAAGGAGCUUGUCACAGGGAAAAGGGCAAGAGAGAUCAUUGCCAUUUUAUGGAUCUUAUCCUUCAUCAUUGGACUCAUUCCAUUCGUGGGCUGGAACCAUAAAGACUUGACCUGUUUCAGAAACGAAAGCAGCUUUAUACAGACCAGCAACAGCAGUGAUGCCGCUCAGAUGGAAACGGGCUUCUUGCAAAGCUGCUGCCUCGAGUGCUUCUUCGAGAACGUAGUGGACAUGAGUUACAUGGUGUACUUCAACUUCUUCGGUUGCGUGCUGCCACCUCUGCUCAUCAUGCUGGGCAUUUACGUCAAGAUCUUCACGGUGGCGCGUAAACAGCUACGUCAGAUCGAGCUCAAAUGCAGCGUGAAUAACGGUGAGAAUCACCACCACAGCCUGCUGCAGCGGGAGAUUCGUGCCGCCAAAUCGCUCUCCAUCAUCGUGGGCUUGUUCGCUCUCUGCUGGCUGCCCGUGCACAUCUUGAACUGCCUCACUCUGUUCUACACCGAGCUGGAAAAGCCCAUCUUUAUCAUGAACAUCGCCAUCAUCCUCUCGCAUGCCAACUCCGCCGUCAAUCCCAUUAUCUACGCCUACCGCAUCCAGGACUUCAGAGUCACUUUUAGGAAGAUUCUGAACCGGCAUUUCUUUUGUCGACGGGAUGAGUUGUAUCGCAGCUCCAAUGGAAGCAGCCGUCACAGAGACCAGAUUACAAUGACCAUCGACCCUCUACUUUAGAUGUAUUUGUCAAAAUAUAUGAGAGAAAUGUUUACAGACCAAAGAACUGCAAACAGCAUGAUCUUGUAUUAAGAUGAUAUCUAGCAAGACCCACUUUUCAUGAAGCCAUUGUGGACACGAUUGAACAUUGAGGAUUUAACAUUGAACUGUGAAAAAAAAAAAACUACCACUACAAAUGUGGAAAUAUUGCAUUUCAGAUUGCAUUUCCAAGCACUAAGAAACUUUCUCAGCAGCUUUAGGUCAAGCCUUAUCGCAGGAAUGAAAGCUAAGAGCGGUCAGUGAGCCUCUGAAGUGCUGAACUGAACCAUGUAUGAGAAACCUACACGAAGAUCCUGCAGAAAAAUAAAACUGUAAUUUUGGGCAGCUUUAGUUAAAUCUUUAAUGAUCUCUUGUCUGUAGAACAGCCCAGAGGAACAAGCUGAAUUCAUAAGGCACAUCAGCUGAAUACGCCACCAUGGAACAAGGAACACAAAGAAACUAUUUCCGAAUGCUUGAAUGUAUUAGUUUCUUUUGUUUUUUUUACAGAGGAGAUGGCUGGUUUAGACGGCUCAGGAACACAAGCCCUUAGGAAUCAGUUUGUUGUUGAAUGUCUGACUGUGACAAGCUACCCAGACCAAACCAACAGCAGCUGACCUGGAGCAAAGACUGUCUCCUCUGGAGAGAGAUUUACAGUGUCACCACCAGAGCUGGACAGUUUAUAACAAUCUGUAGUGUCAAUACUGCCACUCUCUUCUAUUAAUCACCAACCACCGUUACAGUAUAACUACAGCUCUAGAGAGAGGUCUGCUCUUCAUUCAUCAGUGCCUUUACUGGCUCAUCUAGACUACAUUUUGAUGAAUCGCAAUUAUGAUUAUAAAAUGAUUAAAAGCUCAGAGCUCUUGGCACAGUGAUUAGAGCACAUGCUCCUCAGACAUUGAGCCUUGGAAAUGUAGGUUUUAGUCAUCCCAUUUUAGAAGAAGGUUUCCUCAUCCCAAUCUCCAUCUCUCACCAAUUAUUUCUCCCUCCACUAUAUGUCUGUCCAGUUAAAUAGGCAAAAUAAAGCUAUAUUUAGUGUGUCAUCUUACACUCCUUUUUAUGUCAGGUUAUG